rnacentral:lncRNA from 1 species
UCAAAAUUGAUCCCUCUGCUCUCAAUUGCUCAUUCCUCACGCAGACAAAGAAAAAACCUAGAAAUUUUGGGGAAGUUCUGGUUGCUCUAUCUCUCUCUCGGCGCUAUUCUGUAUUCACAACAGCUCCAUUGCUCCAUUUUUGUGGUUAGAACUUAGAAACUCUUGUCUAAUUGUCUUUUCUUUUCUGUUUUUGUUUCAAAGUUUUAGUUUUGCUUCAAAGUUUUAGUUUUCAGUAUUCACAACAGUUUUAGUUUUUCUCUUUCUGAUUUUUGGUUUAGUACUGUGGUUAAAAAGGGUUUACUCAAGAGAUUUGAGCCUAAAUAGAAACUAAUGGAUAUAGAAUAUUCAUGUAGCGCCCGGCUAGUUUAGGUGUACUUGAUUGAUACAUAGAUUGAAAUCUCUAUUUUGUUUGGUAUAGGGGUGGGGGCACUUUCUGUCCACCGGAUUGUUGUGCAACAGUUUUAGAAUACUAUGCUAAUCCUAUCAUCUGGAAAAAUAAAUUAGUAAAUUUGUUGAAUCCAAGUUUAACACGGGUUCGAAGUUGUUUUAAGAAGCUUCCAUUUAGUAUAAGUGCAUGAACUGGUUCAUUGAGAAAAGGCUUGUGUGUUCAUAUAGAUAUAAGUGUGAGACUUCAGAGAAUUCUAAUUUGCCAUAAAAAGCAAAAAAUUUAGUAUUGGAAUGAGAUGAGCCUAAUUUUAAAUAGAGUUUAAUGGCUACAAAAUAUUCAUAUAGAUGCACUGCUAGAAUGGAAUUGAGGUGUACUUGAUUGGUACUUUAUACAUUCAGGAAAUUGAAGUUGCAAUGAACUUGUGGAAAUUUUACAACAAAGUACCAAAAAUAACUUCGGUUUCUCAAAAUCAAUCUACCAAAAUAAGUAGAAUCGCUUUUCGACGCUUCUUUUAUAUUAGUUUGCAUUUAUCCAAUUGUUUGUAUUAUUACCUGCAUUUUUAUAAUUUAGCUCGAUAUCACGUUGUUUGAUUUAAAUUUUUCGGUGCACCUACUUGUUGAGAAUUUUCUUUUCUUGUUCAAGUUUGAACACCCUUGAAAAAUUUUCUAGCUUCGUCACUGAUUAAAGCAGGUUACGGAGUUGAAAAGUUUGAAAUUUGAAGGGGGAGGGGGAGGGAAAGUGACAGUAUUUUUGGGCUAGCCCUUGUAAUUGAUUUGGGCUAUUAAUUAUAUGGUUUAUUUUAUAGCUACCUAUUGUCAUUAGUUUUUUCGGAUUGCUAUAAAUGAAGUUUGCUCAAUUUCUUGUAAAAAUAACACGGUCUAGUUAGUUUUCGAACUGGUCAUUCAAAAAUAGCCAGCGUUUGCAAAGUCAUUAAAAAUUAGCCACUAUUUUGCUGCAACAGGAACCCGUCCAGCAUAAUAUACUGAAGAUCGGUACACAUGUGUAAAACUUCCAGCAUAUUAUGCUGGAACUCCAACACGCGGAAAGUUCCAGCAUAAAAUACUUGAGAUUGAAGCACCUGUGUAUGAACUUCCAGCAUAUUAUACUGAACCGAUAAAUCAUACUGGAACUCCAGUGUAUUAUGCUGGAGUUCCAAUAUACUUAUGAUGGAAC